rnacentral:rRNA from 1 species
UCAUUGGGUUUAAAGGGUCCGUAGGCGGGCUAUUAACUCAGGGGUGAAAGUUUGCCGCUCAACGGACAAAUUGCCUUUGCUACUGAUAGUCUUGAAUUAUUAGGAAGUGGUUAGAAUAUGUAGUGUAGCGGUGAAAUGCAUAGAUAUUACAUAGAAUACCGAUUGCGAAGGCAGAUCACUACUAAUAUAUUGACCCUGAUGGACAAAAGCGUGGGGAGCGAACAGGAUUAGAUACCCUGGUAGUCCACGCCGUAAACGAUGGAUACUAGCUGUUCGGAUUUMGGUCUGAGUGGCUAAKCGAAAGUGAUAAGUAUCCCACCUGGGGAGUACGUUCGCAAGAAUGAAACUCAWAGGAAUUGACGGGGGCCCGCACAAKCGGUGGAGCAUGUGGUUUAAUUCGAUGAUACGCGAGGAACCUUACCAAGGCUUAAAUGUAGAUUGACAGGUUUAGAGAUAGACUUKUCUUCGGACAAUUUACAAGGUGCUGCAUGGKUGUCGUCAGCUCGUGCCGUGAGGUGUCAGGUUAAGUCCUAUAACGAGCGCAACCCCUGUGGUUAGUUACCAGCAUGUAAUGAUGGGGACUCUAGCCAGACUGCCGGUGCAAACCGUGAGGAAGGUGGGGAUGACGUCAAAUCAUCACGGCCCUUACGUCUUGGGCCACACACGUGCUUCAAUGGUAGGGACAGAGAGCAGCCACUGGGUGACCAGGCGCGAAUCUUCAAACCCUAUUUCAGUUCGGAUUGUAGUCUGCAACUCGACUACGUGAAGCUGGCAUCGCUAGUAAUCGGAUAUCAUCCAUGAUCCGGUGAAUACGUUCCCGGACCUUGUUCACACCGCCCGUCAAGCCAUGGAACCUGGGGGUACCUGAAGUCGGUGACCGUAAGGAGCUGCCUAGGGUAAAACUAGUAACUGGGGCCAAGUCGUA